AUGAAAUACUCGCCAGAUGCGCUGGCUCAUGCAUGUAAUCCCAGCACUUUGGGAGGCUGAGGUGGGCAGACUGCUUCAACUCUGGUGUUCCAGACCAGCCUGGACAAGAUGGUGAAACCCUGUAUCUACAAAAAAAUGAAAAACUUAGCUGGGCAUGCUGGUGUGUGCCUUUGGUCCCAGCUACUCAGGAGGCUGAGGUGGGAGGAUUGCUGGAGCCUGGGAGGCAGAGGUUGUAGUGAGCCGAGACUGCGUGACUGCACUCCAGCCUGGGUGACAGGGUGAGACCCUGUCUCAGAAAAACAAAAGAGAUGAAAGCUGAUGAUCUAAAGCCUCAUUCCUAGCUGGGGUAUUUUGUUAUGUUAAUUAAUUGAUUAAUAUAUGAAUUCAAUAACUCACUAAUUAGCUAUUAAACAACACUAUGCUUUCUUUAUUGUACUAAACACUUUAUGUACAAAAGUGAGCAGAAUAAACAGCCACUGCCAUCACAGAGUAUGAUCUUAUUAGCAAAAUGGCAUAUUUUUGACAUCCCAUUCUUAAUAGGCCAGUGACUUCCAAAGAUUUUACGCUGCAGAUUGUACAGGAAACAUUGCCAAUUUUAGAGCAAUUUAAACAAGAAAACAGAAAAAAGUCAAAGAAGAAAGAAGCAGGGAUGAAGUACUGAAACAGGAACAAACAAACAAAUCCAGAUUAUGGUGAGAAUAUACGAUAAAACCAAGCAUCAAAUGCCCUGAGCUUUCUGAUAGCUCUGGUAAAAAUUUAAGAGAGAUGGGAUGCAGGAUAUUUUCAAAAAGAAGGAUCCCCUUUACAAGGAAAUUAUCAGUGCUCAGGUCUGAAAUAGUCAAAUUUUAACCAUCUAAUUGGAAUGAAAAGAAAGCCAUGGUUCCCGGCGUGUCCCUAGGAGGUGAGGAUAGAAGAGUGCUGGGAAGAGGAGGCACAGACUCUUUUCAUGAAGGAAUGCAUCUCACACUAGGAGCAGAGACCUGAUCGGAGACGGUCGGUGGCUUGAACGCUGAGUGCUAAAAAAAACUGGCUGCAGGCACACUGCCUUCAUCACCUUUGUUUUCAACACUUCCGUUUCCAGCACAUGUGAUAAAAAUAAAUGAAGAGAUCCCAAAGCUAAAACUUCAAAAAUACCUUGUUUCCUUUUUUGAAGUUCCCCACUUUACUUAGGAGCACUUUCAGAAUUGAAAAAAAACAAGAGGAAUGGUUUUCCAAUCGUACAAGUCUACACUGGAAUUCCAAAUGAUUGUUUUCUUCAGGAAAAUAAUAGGGAAGAUGCCACCUACCUGUGUCCUUCUCAAGAACUCUGAGGUCACAUGGAGAUGACCACAACAGGCAAAUUGUGGCCUCCAAUAUUUGGUGCAUUUUAAGCUUUCUCCACACCGAGGAACUGGAGGAACAGUGGAAUGAAUGUGUGCCUGGACCUGAGCCAUGAACCAGAAACCAUGAGGACAAGGGUAAGGCCACUCAGGGGACCCAUCAGCCUUCUCCAUCUACUCAACUGCCACCCAAACCUCACGCCACAUCCCUGCCACUCUCAGGGUAUGGAGGCUGGUGGGUGUGUUUGUGUGUGCAAAUGUGUGUGUACCUGCAAAUCUAUGCACACUCAACAAACAGCACCAGUAACACCAGCCUCUGUCUCUUCCUGGCUUUGACAGAAUUUAAGAGAGGCUAAACAAGAGCACAAACCUGAGUGAAUCAGAGCAUACUAGAAUACUUUCUUAUGCUUUCCUGAACAUGAUAGGCAGAGAUUUUAUGUACUAAUUAUGGGAAGAGCUGAUGCUGUGACACAGGGACUAGAGAUAUAACAGUCCCUGCAAAACUGAUCUCAUAACAUUAGAUUCCCAGGAAAAUUCAGUGUAAGGGGGCUAGAGGAACUUGUUUUGCAUUUGGUGGCUGGUUUUCCCUCACUUUCCUAGGCUUGUCUUAUAGCUGAAUGCACACACACACAGGUACACAAUUCUAAACACGAGCUGAUUGCUCUUCCCAUAAGAGAACAAGAACAAUUCUAAUUCAUUUAAAUAAUGUCCAGUUGGUAAGAGAGAAAACAAUUUGUUGAGUGUGUACAAAUUGUUGUUUGUAUUUAAAUGACAGAGUGAUGAGCCAAGGCACGCCAUCCAUGCUCCGAGUGCCCAUUGCACUAGAGUAGACACCACCGCAGGUGGCCAUGUCUACAGGGUUGUCAUUCUCACCUCCACACUGGCACACAGAGAAAUCCUAAAGAGAAAUUAGAGCUUAGGCAAGCUCAUGCUACUCAUGAACUAGGUUAGUUGCCUCCAGAACCAAGUUUGCUGCACCUGUUCACCAUGGCCUGGAAGAGCAUACUUACACUACUAGUGUGGCAGGCUCUCAUCAGAGACCGCAACUGUAAGCCCAGCACUUUCACACACAAUGACUACAGUUAAGUGAUGGCUGAGCAGGUGCUUGGACUUUUUUCACCCUCUUUUUGCUAAGUGACUUGAGCGAGGUUUGCCUGACAACCCUUAAUGAAUUAUAUGCAAAAAAUGUCAAUUUUCCAUCAAAUGGCAGUAGUAAAUCAUUCAGAAGUGAAAAAAAUAGAAGACUGAAUUCUAAUUUGGAUCUUUAACAAACUCUUUCUCUCACUGCUAACAUCAAGACCACCCAGGGACUGGGAUUCACAUGGGAAAUGGUUCAAUGAUGGUGUUAUUUUUGAAAGCAGAAGGCUGUCUAAUGCCAAAAAAAAAAAAAAAAGAAAACGUUCCUCAAUCACUCCAUCUUCUGUACUUGAAAUUUAGUAGAGAUAGAGAAGUUUUCUUUUGUAUUGUGAAUUUUUAUUGUUAGGAAUCUUCAUGGAAAAUAAAGAUUUUACAUGUCCUAAUAAAAAUUUUAGGACAAACACCCUGAAAUACCACAUGCAAAAUUAUGAUAAGCAAUAUAGAGCCAAGAUUUGACAGUUUACUGGCAAGCCAAUGUGAGAACGGACAGAGAUGCAAUAAAAACAAUGAACUUUUAAGUUCUGAUAAUAAUAAUAAUAAUAGUUAUGCAUGAAAGACAUUGUUUAGAAAACAAAGGGCAUUGGGGGCCAGCAAAGCAAACUGCAUAUUGAGGAGAUGGACCCAAGACUAGUUCAGGCUACACAUUUGUGUUUCACACCUAAACGGACUGGACACAAAGGCCAAAACUCUGUAGAAAAUCCUGUCUUGAAGGUAGCACUCCCACCAUUACCUCCAUGGCUUGUCUAGUGAUGAUGAGGUUGACAGAAAACAGUCCAGAUAUUAAGGUCAGAAAAUCCAGCACCUAAAUAAGCCUCUAACCUUUGCUUUUUAUUUGGGCCUUAGUAAAUUAUGUCACCUCUAAACUGAUCUCUUUAUUUUUAAGAUUCAUAUACUAAUAAGAAUUAUGUAACAUAGCACAAGCGGAAGUAUCUAGAACUUAGAAACCUAGAACAUAGAACACAGGAACAACCAGAGGAAAGUCCGCUGAGUAUGACCACACACACACGUACACGUACACACACAUACAAACGUGCGCACACACACAAACGCACACACACUGGAUGCACGAAUGCACACCAUUCAUGGAACGAACACUUCCUUAAAAUAUUCAAUUACAGUGGAAAGACUGUCACCUGAGAUAAUAAUUUAGACUACAAUAUGUCUGUAGAAUUUAAAAUGCAUAUAUUCUUAAAAGAUAAUCAGACAUUAUUUUUUUAAAAAUGAAUAAUAUGAAAACCUAAAGAUAUAAAGUAUUAUUAAUAUUUUCUCUAGAGUAAAAAAUUGUUCACCAAUCUCAGAUAAUUUUCAAAUAUGUUAUGAAUUUUCUAUGAUUUGUCUGAAAAACAGUCGUAUUUGUAGUACAAAGUAAUUUUCCCUGAAAUCAGAAUUGGUGGACGCUAAUGACUUCACAGUUAUUUUCAGAUGAGAAAGGCUUCCUAUUUGUCUCAGAUCUACAAACUGAUAUAAUCUAUUAGUACCUCUGUAACUGCAUGACACAAAAUAAGUGGGGCACAAGAAGAGGAAAAAGCAACUACCCAUUUCAAAUCUAUUAUCGCCCUUACACUCUCCAUGCAAAGAGAAACAGAAGGAAAUACGUGUGUGUACCCAUGUGAACACAACACACCUGCAUAGAACGUGGAGAGCUUAAGGCACUAUGAAAUAAUCUCUUCACAUUGGGUUUACGCAGUAUCUUCCCCCAAACCCAGAAAACUCUCAGACACCCAUAAUAUACAGCAAUGGUGUUUCUUCUUAUCUUAACAUAUGGAGAAAUUGUGAAAGAAUAGCUCACUGACUUGUAAAAAGUACAACCGUUAUUUAGAAAUGCAGACCAAUUUCCUCAUUGAUUAGGUCAAAGUAAUUUAAUUGCUUACAAAUGUCCAAAUUCUAAUUUUAAAGUAGGAAAAAUAUUGCAUAUUUAGCAAAUGUGUGAGGGCCAAUAGGUUUUCAUACUAUGAGGAUAAACACUUCAUUCAAAGCAAAAGAGGCGCUAUAGCCAAAAGUCAUUCUUAAAUAAUAAAUAUAUUUUUUUGUGAGUGUAAGGUGUUAUUUCCUUAUACCAUCUUGUGCACAUAAACUGUUCUGUUAAUUUUUUGAAACUGCCUGUUAGGAUCCCCAAAUAUAAAAAUAAAAUGGAACUACAUUUCAAUUAAUACUACUUCAAUACUUAACACAUGACUAUUUCCAUCUUAUUCCUGAUAAUCUAUCAAAACCUUCCUUUUUCUGAUAUAUUAUUCUUUCAAAAGCAUUCUUUUUUCACUGUUUUGGAUGAAUUCAUAGCCCAUAACUAUUUGUUUGUACAGUGCCCCUUUCAAAACUUAGAUUAAGAAUCUAGCCAGAAUCUUUUUCAAAUUCUUCUGUAAAAAACCACAUCACCUUUUCGGUUAGAUAAUUCUCAAAGCAAUUUUCGGAUGAAAUAAACUUAGUUCUACCCAAUAGUCUGGAGUGUUCUUAUUUCAUAGUGCAACUUGCCUAAGCCCAAACUAUUUAGACAUCUUCCUAUAACAUACUCCCUUUGUUGUGAUAAAAAUAAAUGAACAGAUCCCAUAGCUAAAACUUCAAAAAUACCUAGUUUUCUUUUUUGAAGUUCCGCACUUUACUUAGGAGCACUUUGAGAAUUGAAAAAAACAAGAGGAAUGGUUUACCAAUUGUACAAGUCUACACUGGAAUUCCAAAUGAAUGUUUUCUUCAGGAAAAUAAUAGGGAAGAUGCCACCUACCUGAGUCCUUCUCAAGAACUCUGAGGUCACAUGGAGAUGACCACAACAGGCAAAUCGUGGCCUCCAAUAUUUGGUGCAUUUUAAGAACACUGGCUAUUUAGUCUGUAAGAGUAAAACUAACUAUUUAAAGCUGGUUAUAAAUUAUAUCUCCUGCUCACUCUCUCUAAAUCACACCAAAUACAAAGACUUUCUCAUUCUCUCAUGCCAGCAAUACAUCAGUUAUAAUACUCAGUAAACUUUGGUUAAAUACAAAACACUAUAGAAUAAGAUACAGGAUCUAGCAACUACUGACAGCUGACAUUGGACAUGCCAACGCUUGAGAAAGAGCCAACAGUAAACUGACUUUAAAAGCAUCUUGACUCAUUUGUCACUUAUCCAAUGGUGAUGAUCAUCAUUGUGUAUGUUUUCCAGGGAUAUUGGCAUAAAUGCAUGGCUACCCUUCCUUAUUUGUAGAAUCCAGAGGAAAAAACUAAAGACAAGAAACUCAUUUUGGUCUUCUGGGCUUAUUCAUUGGUUUUUGCUGUUUAAUUUUUAAAAUUAUAGUUUGUUUUACUCUUGCAUUGGAUAUUAAUAAUAUAACAGACCUACUAAUUCUGAUUGUAUUGUCUUUUAUUUAUUCCAAGCAGAUUUCUUUUUUUUACCUAAUAGAUUCCUUAAUAUUCC
rnacentral:lncRNA from 10 species